rnacentral:rRNA from 1 species
UACGUAGGUGGCAAGCGUUGUCCGGAUUUACUGGGCGUAAAGAGCGCGCAGGCGGUCGUUCAAGUCGCGUGUGAAAGCCCCCGGCUCAACUGGGGAGGGUCACGCGAUACUGAUCGACUGGAAGGCAGGAGAGGGUAGUGGAAUUCCCGGUGUAGUGGUGAAAUGCGCAGAUAUCAGGAAGAACACCAAUGGCGAAGGCAGCUCUCUGGGACGGUACUGACGCUGAGACGCGAAAGCGUGGGGAGCGAACAGG